UGAUAGUUGGACAAUUUCUUGGGCAACUCGCUAUCAAUUUCCAGUUCCUGAUCAAGAGAUGCAUCCUCAGUAGAUUUCAGAGAAUGAGGUGUUUCCAGUUUAUCCCCAGCUGGCAUUGAUAUUAGAAGAUUCCAACUAUCCAGACGGUUAAUUGGACCUGUUGCAACUCUAUCAAGAAUACUUUUUGUGGCUGACUUCCAGUUAAAAGGAAAUGAGCCCCCCCAUCCAAAACUCCUGGAUAAGUCAUUUCCUGUGCCAAGUGGGAUUAUUCCUGUUGGUGGAACUGGUUCUCGGCCCUGUUUCUUAAGAUCUCCAAGGCAGCCAAGAAUCCAUCCAACGGUGCCAUCACCUCCUGCUGCCACGACUCUUAUCCUUUCACGAGUCACUUUUGCACAACUGUCACCAAGAGCAGCAAACUUCUCCAGGCAACUCAAUCCAUAUUGAACAAACUCAUGAGGAUUCACAUCUGAAAGGUCAAAAACCUGUUCUUCACCCAUGAGUUCCUGUAGCCUAGCUUUAAGCUGUGGACCAUGUCUUCCACCACUUUUAGAAUUAAUAAAGACGAUAAUCGGCUCUUCCGCUGGCUGAGGAAUCUCGGCGCCGGCGGCAUAAGCCGUAUCGAGAUGCCGUCUUACUGUAUCGACAUCCUUAUUCUGUAUAGCCUCCCUUAUGGCCAGCCUUAAAUAUUCCGGCAUAGUAAUUCUCCUCCGUAGAUCCUCUUUGGAAAUCCUAACUCCGGCGAAAGUAAAACCUUUAAUUGACUCUACCACCGACGAUCUCCCUGAUGCCGUUCUCCGACUUGCUGUCGAAUCCAUCUUUGCGAAUCGAAAAUAGAGUAUAGAAAAAGACAGAGAGUGGUGAGUUAUGAGAACAAGUUGUUAAAGUUGAGAAGUAUAAGUAAAAGAAGCGCUAAAGGAG
rnacentral:misc_RNA from 1 species